rnacentral:rRNA from 1 species
GACGUAGGAGGCGAGCGUUGUCCGGAUUCAUUGGGCGUAAAGAGCACGCAGGCGGUUUGGCAAGUCGGAUGUGAAAACCCGAAGCUCAACUUCGGGCCUGCAUCCGAAACUGCCCGACUAGAGGUAGGUAGGGAAGAUCGGAAUUCCUGGUGUAGCGGUGAAAUGCGCAGAUAUCAGGAGGAACACCGGUGGCGAAGGCGGAUCUCUGGGCCUUACCUGACGCUCAGGUGCGAAAGCUAGGGGAGCGAACAGG